GAUGAACGCUGGCGGCGUGCCUAAUACAUGCAAGUCGAGCGAACGGACGAGAAGCUUGCUUCUCUGAUGUUAGCGGCGGACGGGUGAGUAACACGUGGAUAACCUACCUAUAAGACUGGGAUAACUUCGGGAAACCGGAGCUAAUACCGGAUAAUAUUUUGAACCGCAUGGUUCAAAAGUGAAAGACGGUCUUGCUGUCACUUAUAGAUGGAUCCGCGCUGCAUUAGCUAGUUGGUAAGGUAACGGCUUACCAGGGCAACGAUGCAUAGCCGACCUGAGAGGGUGAUCGGCCACACUGGAACUGAGACACGGUCCAGACUCCUACGGGAGGCAGCAGUAGGGAAUCUUCCGCAAUGGGCGAAAGCCUGACGGAGCAACGCCGCGUGAGUGAUGAAGGUCUUCGGAUCGUAAAACUCUGUUAUUAGGGAAGAACAUAUGUGUAAGUAACUGUGCACAUCUUGACGGUACCUAAUCAGAAAGCCACGGCUAACUACGUGCCAGCAGCCGCGGUAAUACGUAGGUGGCAAGCGUUAUCCGGAAUUAUUGGGCGUAAAGCGCGCGUAGGCGGUUUUUUAAGUCUGAUGUGAAAGCCCACGGCUCAACCGUGGAGGGUCAUUGGAAACUGGAAAACUUGAGUGCAGAAGAGGAAAGUGGAAUUCCAUGUGUAGCGGUGAGAUGCGCAGAGAUAUGGAGGAACACCAGUGGCGAAGGCGACUUUCUGGUCUGUAACUGACGCUGAUGUGCGAAAGCGUGGGGAUCAAACAGGAUUAGAUACCCUGGUAGUCCACGCCGUAAACGAUGAGUGCUAAGUGUUAGGGGGUUUCCGCCCCUUAGUGCUGCAGCUAACGCAUUAAGCACUCCGCCUGGGGAGUACGACCGCAAGGUUGAAACUCAAAGGAAUUGACGGGGACCCGCACAAGCGGUGGAGCAUGUGGUUUAAUUCGAAGCAACGCGAAGAACCUUACCAAAUCUUGACAUCCUUUGACAACUCUAGAGAUAGAGCUUUCCCCUUCGGGGGACAAAGUGACAGGUGGUGCAUGGUUGUCGUCAGCUCGUGUCGUGAGAUGUUGGGUUAAGUCCCGCAACGAGCGCAACCCUUAAGCUUAGUUGCCAUCAUUAAGUUGGGCACUCUAAGUUGACUGCCGGUGACAAACCGGAGGAAGGUGGGGAUGACGUCAAAUCAUCAUGCCCCUUAUGAUUUGGGCUACACACGUGCUACAAUGGACAAUACAAAGGGCAGCGAAACCGCGAGGUCAAGCAAAUCCCAUAAAGUUGUUCUCAGUUCGGAUUGUAGUCUGCAACUCGACUACAUGAAGCUGGAAUCGCUAGUAAUCGUAGAUCAGCAUGCUACGGUGAAUACGUUCCCGGGUCU
rnacentral:rRNA from 1 species